GCUAGCGGCAGGCUUAACACAUGCAAGUCGAGGGGUAGAAGGAGCUUGCUCCUUUGAGACCGGCGCACGGGUGCGUAACGCGUAUGCAAUCUACCUUUUGCAGAGGGAUAGCCCAGAGAAAUUUGGAUUAAUACCUCAUAGUAUAGAACAAUCGCAUGAUUGAGCUAUUAAAGUCACAACGGCAAAAGAUGAGCAUGCGUCCCAUUAGUUAGUUAGUAAGGUAACGGCUUACCAAGACUACGAUGGGUAGGGGUCCUGAGAGGGAGAUCCCCCACACUGGUACUGAGACACGGACCAGACUCCUACGGGAGGCAGCAGUGAGGAAUAUUGGACAAUGGGCGCAAGCCUGAUCCAGCCAUGCCGCGUGCAGGAUGACGGUCCUAUGGAUUGUAAACUGCUUUUGUACAGGAAGAAACACCUCUACGUGUAGAGACUUGACGGUACUGUAAGAAUAAGGAUCGGCUAACUCCGUG
rnacentral:rRNA from 1 species